UUUCUUACCUGGGCAGGGUCAAUGGUUGAUCAAUAAUGCUUAUGGCCUAUGUGAUCUCCAUUGUGCUUAGGAGAUGCAUCAGCCUAAGGUCUGUCCAAGUGGCAGAGCCUACAUCAUAAUUUGUCGUAAUGGGGGUUCGUUUCAA
rnacentral:snRNA from 15 species